CUGAGCUGAGGUGUUGUGUCCUGAGCUGAGGUGUUGUGUGUUGUCCUGAGCUGAGGUGUUGUGUGUUGUCCUGAGCUGAGGUGUUGUGUGUUGUCCUGAGCUGAGGUGUUGUGUGUUGUCCUGAGCUGAGGUGUUGUGUGUUGUCCUGAGCUGAGGUGUUGUGUGUUGUCCUGAGCUGAGGUGUUGUGUGUUGUCCUGAGCUGAGGUGUUGUGUGUUGUCCUGAGCUGAGGUGUUGUGUGUUGUCCUGAGCUGAGGUGUUGUGUGUUGUCCUGAGCUGAGGUGUUGUGUGUUGUCCUGAGCUGAGGUGUUGUGUGUUGUCCUGAGCUGAGGUGUUGUGUUGUCCUGAGCUGAGGUGUUGUGUUGUCCUGAGCUGAGGUGUUGUGUUGUCCUGAGCUGAGGUGUUGUGUUGUCCUGAGCUGAGGUGUUGUGUUGCCCUGAGCUGAGGUGUU